UGGCAGGUCAGCAUACUGCCGUGAAUACGUUCCCGGGCCCUUGUACACACCGCCCGUCACACCAUGAGAGUUGGAAAUACCCGAAGCCUGUGAGCUAACUUAAAGAGGCAGCAGUCGAAGGUAGAGCCAAUGAUUGGGGUGAAGUCGUAACAAGGUAUC
rnacentral:rRNA from 1 species